rnacentral:lncRNA from 1 species
UGAGCUUUGAGAUUGAACGGGUAACUUGGCGCUUGAACAGGUCCGCCGAGCACCCUGCCACUCGCCUUGAAUCUGCUUCCCAGCGGCCUAGACUUAGCAAGCAUGACCAAUAGCCGCCGGAUGAAAAAGAAGAGACACAAGACGCAAGCAGCAGGUGCACCAAGCAAGGCUAACUCUCUCUGUUUUAAACUAUUUGCUUGCUUUUGUUUUACAGAAAAGAGUUAGUUCCAUAGGGUUCCAAUGUCCUCCCAUACCCAAGAUUUUAUAGUAUGUAUUCUUUAGUUGUAUAAAGUCUUGAUCAAAAGGGAAUCACCAAUUACCUAUUUGAAUCUUACUGCAAAAUCAUGAUGCAUAGUUGCCAUUAUUGUUCAUUUUCCUAGAUUUGCUUACAAAGGGCUAUAGUGUAUGUCUUGAUCAAAGGGCAAUAUUACCUGUUUGAAUCAUUACUGCAAAAUCAUGAUGCAUAACUUUUGUCAUUGUUCAUCUUCUAGAUUUGCUUUCAAAGGGCUACUGCCAUGAUGAGUCACUCAACAUCUCC